CGGGCGCGGUGGUGGCGCCCAUAGACAUUAAAGAAUGGAUAUGGAUAGGCCAUGGCUAUAAUAACAAUGAUGGAGGGAAGCGUGCCAUAAUGGGGAAGAAAGAAAGAAUAUUUUUAUCAAUGCCUCUCAUUCUGGCAGAGUUUGUUACCGUAGCCGACGUCGACGUGUUAUCACAGAACAGAUUAAGUUCAAUUAAUCAUUAUUUGGGCAUAAGAUAUCUUGUACUUUGUAGGUAUUCCGUGGCCUGGAGGGGAAGGAUUGCCCGCUAAGGGUGAAGUGUCCUCUCUUCCAAGCCGUGAUCCCGCACAAAAAAAAAAGGUAUUCUGUGGUGGUACAAACUAUUAAUUGCUAAAUAUUAUAAAUUUAUUUUGGGGUUAACUCAAUUGUUUAAGAAUAGGUAGUAGAAAGGUACAUAAUUUUUUAUGAAUAGAAUUGGCAACUCCACAAUUAACACAAUAUGAACAAUUAAGAGCAGGAUUUGUGGAAUCGGAAAUAUUUUUGUACAAUAUUUUAAUAUGACUUGGUUAACAGGUCUAUUUGCUGAUUUACUCUCAAUUCCUGAUAGAAACUGGUGCACAAACAAUGUACUGGAAAUAAGUCAUAAGAAUCUAAUGUCCAAUAUAAAUAUGCCAAACCAAGUACAUGGAUAUUUAUAGAAAUGCUUAUUACUGUAUAUACGAGUGGUAUGAUAGUUAAUGAUGCCGGUUAGCUGAUGCCGGUAUGGAAAUAAAGUAACCAAGAAAUUUUGGAACAAACCGUCCUAAUAGCUACGAGUUGAUGAUGAAGUCAAUAUUAUUGUAGAACAUCUUGAGCCAGCAGUACGCCAAAAGACGCAAGUACAUCUACACAACAAUCUGCCUAUAUCAGAACCUUUACCAAUAUAUGACCCACAAUAUUCUGGACAAGGUAUACACGUUCAACAAUCUGAAAACAGUGUUAUAAAUAAUUCUUCUAAUAAAAAUAAUGAAAUAAAAAAAUGGUGAUUUUCAAAAUCUAGUCCUAACCUUAUUAAAUAAAAUGAAGUAUGAGAUAUCUAAUUUGAGCUCAAAAAUAAACAUUCAACAAAGUACGAUUAAUGCAUUUGAUACAUUUUUAAAAAAUGCUGGACAAACAAUUGCUUCUCAAAUAUUGAACCAAAACUCUUCAAUAACAUUUAAUGACAUGUUUCCAAUAAAAACUGAAGAGGAACUAGAAAUAUUUGAAGAUAAAAUUAACGGGGAUACAAUAUUUUGAAAUACUGUGACAUCAAAACUCUCACUACUGAUUGGUAUCAAAGACAUUGGUGCUAGCACAAGGCAUUUGAUGUCCAAAAUGUUUGUAGAUGAAGUUCUUUGCCAUUAUUCACUAUUAGGAUUCAAGAAAAAACAACUUUUCGCAACUAUCUACCUACCGUUUAUUAAUUGGUAAAUGAAAAUGUGUAACCAAUAAAUUGAUACAAUUAAUAUUUAA